UUGCAUUGAUUUCUGCUCUGAUCUUUAUAAUUUCCUCUCUUGUAUGAGCUUUGGAUUCAUUAUGCUCUUCUUUUUCUAGGAGCUUGAGGUUCUGCAUUAGGUUAUUUAUUUGAGUUCUCUCUGUUUUUCUAACACGGGCAUUCACUGCUAUGAAUUUCCCUCAUAGAACUGCUUUCAUUGUGUUCCAUAGGUUCCUCUAUGUUGUACUGUCAUUGUCAUUUACUUGUAGAGACUAAUUUCUUCUUUAAUUUCCUCUGUCACCCAUUGGUUGUUCAGGAGGGUGUUAUUCAAUUUCCAUGUGUUUUUGUGGGAGUUUUGUGGUUUCUUAUGUUAUUGACCUCCAAUUUUAUUGCAUUACGGUCUGAUAAUAUAUAGGAGGUAACUUCAAUUCUUUUACAUUUACUUAGACAUGCCCUAUGCUAAUAUGUGGUCUGUUUUGGAGAAUGACCCCUGUGCAGCCGAAAUGAAUGUGUGUUCUGAUUUUAUGGGGUGGAACACUCUAUGAACAUCCAUUAAGUCCAUUUGUUCAAUAGCUUGGUUCAGUUCUAGAAUUUCCUUGUUAACUUUUUGUCUAGAUGAUCUAUCUAUUUGUAAUAGUGGGGUAUUGAUGUCUCCCACUACAAUUGUAUUCAUGCUCAUUUGGUUUUUCAUGUCCAUUAAUAUUUGUUUUGUAUAGUUUGGGGCAUUCAUAUUUGGUGCAUAUAUAUAUUUAGGAUUUUCAUCUCUUCCUCUUGGAUUGUUCCCUUCACAAGGAUGUAGUGACCAUUUUUGUUUCUCUUAAUUAGUUUUGGUUUGAAACCUACUUUGUCUGCAAAUAAGAUUGCUACCCCUGCUUUCUUCUGGGUUCCUGUGGCAUGGAGAACUGUUUUCCAUCCUUUCACUUUCAGUCUAUGAGUUUCUGUUUGAGUUAGGUGUGUUUCUUAUAUACAGCAUAUUGUUACAUUUUCCUUUUUAAUCCAUUCUUCCAGUCUAUUUCUUUGAUUGGUGAAUUGAGGCCAUUAACAUUGAGGGUUGUAAUUGAUAGAUAUUGAUUUAUCCUUGUCAUGAUGUUUUACUUUUGUUGGCUCUUUUAUUUCUUAUUUUUUUCCCCCUUUCCCUUUACAGUCUUACCUUGCCUGGUGGCUUCCCUCUGUUGGGCUUCAUGGACUUGUGAGCUUCAUUUCUUCUUUCUAGGAUACUGUUUAGAAUUGCUUGUAGUGCUGGUUUGGAGUUCAUGAAAUUUCUCAGAUGUUCUUUUUUGUGGAAGUAUCUAAUUUCCCCAUCGAUUUUGAAAGAUAAUUUUGCAGGAUACAACAGUCUAGGUUGGAAGUUAUUUUCUUUUAGGGCUUGAAAUACUUCACUCCAGGCUCUCCUUGAUUUGAGAGUUUGUGUUGAGAAGUCUGCUGUGAUUCUGAUGGGUUUUCCUUUGUAGGUGAUUUGUUUCUUUUCUCUAACUGCUUGUAGGAUUUUGUUUUUCUGUUGGGUUUCUGGGAUCUUGACUAUAUGUCUAGAUGUAGAUUUUUUUUUUUUAUCAUGGCUAGUUGGAGUUCUAUAUGCCUCACUUAUCUGUAUGUCCAAUUCUCUACCUCUGUCUGGGAAGUUUCCCACUAUUACUUCUGUGAACAUUUUUUUUUAUAUCAAUUGUACUUUCUCCUGUUUUUUCAUGGACUCCUAUCAGUCUUAUGUUAUUCUUUGCAUCGUCUAGUAGUUGUUGGAUUGAUUUCUCGUAGUCCCUAACUAUUUUUAAGAAAUCUCUAUUUUCAUGGUCUCUAACCACGAUCCUGUCUUCUAUAUCUGACAUUCUAUCUUCAGAUUCCCUUAAUCUGCUGUGGAUACUUUCAACGGAGUUUUUGUUUUUUGUUUUUUGGUACUGGGGAUUGAACUCAGGUCCUUGCACUUGUGCGGCAGGCAGUGAAACCACUGAGCUAAAUCCCCAGCCCUCAAUGGAGUUUUUGGUCUCCCGGAUAUGUGUUUGAAUCUUUUUCAUGGAUUCCAUUUCUUUCUUAUGCUGGGUAUUCAUGGAUUCCAGCAUGUUUCUGAGCUCAUCUAUUUUUUUUUUAUCAGUUUCUGUGCUAGAGCCUCUAAUCAUGUCUUUCACUCUGCUCACCAUCUCUGUAGAUAUCUGGGAGAUUAUUUCUGCUUUGAAUUUUUCUAGAGCCUCAUUCAUGUGUUUUGUUACUUCCUGUGCUAUCAGUUCAGGGUAUCCAGGUGGUUGGUUAUGGGACUUUUCCAUCUCAUUUCCCCCAGGAUUUACCCUUGGUGGGGUUGAAGUCUGAGUUUGUGCCUUGCUUAAAUGUCUUUGCAUUUUUGUUUUUGGUACUGUCCUUGGUUUAACUUCUGGGUUGAUAGUUUGAAAUUGCUUAUUGUAGGUAUCUUUGUUGCUUGUAACCCUUAUGGAAUGAUUGCUUCUCAGAGGUGUCUUCCAGAUAUAGCUGGUCUUUAAGUUUUGAGUCUCUAAUGACUCUAAGGCCAUCUGAUUUUCCUUAUACUAGGAAGGUUCAUUGACUAGAUCAAUAACAACACCUUAGCCCAAGUGAUACAAUCAGCAACACCACUGCAUCAAGUACAUCUUUGAAAAUGUCAUUUUGUGGUAGUUAUUAAUCUAUCACCUUUCGUUGUGUUAAUUAAAUCAAGAUUGAGGACCAACCCAACAUUUAGUGAAUAAACUCUUCAUAUAACAACUUUACUCUUUGGGAUGAGGAGUUAGAAGGGGUUGGGGAGGGAGGACAGAUGGGAAGAAGGAUAGGGGAAGGUUAGCAGUGUGGCCAGAGGACACAGGUGAGAAGGAAAAAGAAAAUAAUAGGAAAAUAAAGAAGAACUCCAAAUGAGGAACAAAACAGGGACAAAAAGGGAAGAUGAACAAUAUGGGAGAGCAAGACAGUGAGUGUAAGAGAGAAAGGAAAAAGAAAGAAGAAAAGAAAAGAAAAAAAAGAGAAAAACAAAUAUUUGCAAAGAGUAGGAAAAAAAUUAAAGAUAAGAGAAGCAAAAGAAAAGAAGUGAGAAAAAAACAAACUAAUAAUACUAAUUUGGGGAAUAAAAAAUAACAGUGAAGAUGAAGGGCCUCUUUCAG
ensembl:lncRNA